CCUACGGGAGGCAGCAGUGGGGAAUUUUGCACAAUGGGCGAAAGCCUGAUGCAGCAACGCCGCGUGUGUGAUGAAGGUCUUCGGAUUGUAAAGCACUUUCGACCGGGACGAAACACCCUCAGCUAACAUCUGGGGGCCUGACGGUACCGGGAGAAGAAGCACCGGCUAACUCUGUGCCAGCAGCCGCGGUAAUACAGAGGGUGCAAGCGUUGUUCGGAAUUAUUGGGCGUAAAGCGCGUGUAGGUGGCUUGGCAAGUCGGGUGUGAAAGCCCUCAGCUCAACUGAGGAAGUGCGCCCGAAACUGCUUUGCUUGAGUACUGGAGAGGGUCGCGGAAUUCCCGAAGUAGAGGUGAAAUUCGUAGAUAUCGGGAGGAACACCGGUGGCGAAGGCGGCGACCUGGAUAGUAACUGACGCUGAGACGCGAAAGCGUGGGGAGCAAACAGGAUUAGAUACCCUGGUAGUCCACGCCGUAAACGAUGAGAACUAGGUGUCGUGGGUGUUGACCCCCGCGGUGCCGUAGCUAACGCAUUAAGUUCUCCGCCUGGGAAGUACGG
rnacentral:rRNA from 1 species